rnacentral:rRNA from 1 species
UACGUAGGGUGCGAGCGUUAAUCGGAAUUACUGGGCGUAAAGGGCGCGUAGGCGGCACGGCAAGUCAGGAGUGAAAGCCCGGGGCUCAACCCCGGAAUGUCUUUUGAAACUGCCGAGCUAGAGUGCGGAAGAGGCAACUGGAAUUCCCAGUGUAGCGGUGAAAUGCGUAGAUAUCAAGUGGAACACCAGUGGCGAAGGCGAGUCCCUGGACAACUCCUGACACUGAGGCACGAAAGCUAGGGGAGCAAACAGG